rnacentral:rRNA from 1 species
UACGGAGGGUGCAAGCGUUAUCCGGAUUUACUGGGUUUAAAGGGUGCGCAGGCGGAUAUGUAAGUCAGUGGUGAAAUCUCCGGGCUUAACCCGGAACUGCCGUUGAUACUAUAUAUCUUGAAUGCCGUGGAGGUAAGCGGAAUAUGUCAUGUAGCGGUGAAAUGCUUAGAUAUGACAUAGAACACCUAUUGCGAAGGCAGCUUACUACACGGAGAUUGACGCUCAUGCACGAAAGCGUGGGGAUCAAACAGGGA